rnacentral:rRNA from 1 species
UACGGAGGGGGCUAGCGUUGUUCGGAAUUACUGGGCGUAAAGCGCACGUAGGGGGCUUUGUAAGUUAGAGGUGAAAGCCCGGGGCUCAACUCCGGAAUUGCCUUUAAGACUGCAUCGCUAGAAUUGUGGAGAGGUAAGUGGAAUUCCGAGUGUAGAGGUGAAAUUUGUAGAUAUUCGGAAGAACACCAGUGGCGAAGGCGACUUACUGGACACAUAUUGACGCUGAGGUGCGAAAGCGUGGGGAGCAAACAGG